GAUGAACGCUGGCGGCGUGCCUAAUACAUGCAAGUCGAACGCACAGCGAAAGGUGCUUGCACCUAUCAAGUGAGUGGCGAACGGGUGAGUAACACGUGGACAACCUGCCUCAAGGCUGGGGAUAACAUUUGGAAACAGAUGCUAAUACCGAAUAAAACUCAGUGUCGCAUGACACAAAGUUAAAAGGCGCUUUGGCGUCACCUAGAGAUGGAUCCACGGUGCAUUAGUUAGUUGGUGGGGUAAAGGCCUACCAAGACAAUGAUGCAUAGCCGAGGUGAGAGACUGAUCGGCCGCAUUGGGACUGAGACACGACGCAAACUCCUACGGUAGGCUGCAGUAGGAAAUCUUCCACCAUGGGCGAAAGCCUGAUGGGGCAACGCCGCGUGUAUGAUGAAGGCUUUCGGGUCGUAAAGAACUGUUGUAUGGGAAGAACAGCUAGAAUAGGGAAUGAUUUUAGUUUGACGGUACCAUACCAGAAAGGGACGGCUAAAUACGUGCCAGCCGCCGCCGUAA
rnacentral:rRNA from 1 species